rnacentral:lncRNA from 1 species
GUGGUUCCCGCGCCCGGGACCUGCCCGCACCGAAGAGCAAGUUGUCCCAGUUCAAGUGAACAUCAGUCCACACAACGGGGUGACUGUGACUCGCACCUUCCGCCCCGUCCUCCUUUCCCUCCGCCUCGAUGACACUAGUGAUCCCCACCGCCCACCACUGUCCCGCCGUCCAGGGUCAGCUCCGGAGUGGGCCUCGCGCCCUGCACACUUGGGGGGACUCAUGCGAAAGUCCCGGUGUCCUCGAGCGAGACAGGCCUGGGGCCUCACGCCACAAGGCGGUGUCGCGCCUCAGGGCUCUCUGGUCAGCGUCUGCUGUAAGAGGUCACUGCCGUCGCGACAGCUCUUAACAUCAUCCAGAGCCCCGCCCGGCCAUCGAGUUUACCCCUCUCCCCUAACAUUUUGCAGGCUCCAGUGGGCAUAUGAACAGUGUGCAACUGGGAGAAACUUGUCUCCCCGGCCAUUAGGACUAGUCCUUGAAGGGGUUCCUUCAAA